UAGGGAAUCUUCGGCAAUGGACGAAAGUCUGACCGAGCAACGCCGCGUGAGUGAAGAAGGUUUUCGGAUCGUAAAACUCUGUUGUUAGAGAAGAACAAGGACGUUAGUAACUGAACGUCCCCUGACGGUAUCUAACCAGAAAGCCACGGCUAACUACGUGCCAGCAGCCGCGGUAAUACGUAGGUGGCAAGCGUUGUCCGGAUUUAUUGGGCGUAAAGCGAGCGCAGGCGGUUUCUUAAGUCUGAUGUGAAAGCCCCCGGCUCAACCGGGGAGGGUCAUUGGAAACUGGGAGACUUGAGUGCAGAAGAGGAGAGUGGAAUUCCAUGUGUAGCGGUGAAAUGCGUGGAUAUAUGGAGGAACACCAGUGGCGAAGGCGGCUCUCUGGUCUGUAACUGACGCUGAGGCUCGAAAGCGUGGGGAGCAAACAGG
rnacentral:rRNA from 2 species